GGAGGACCACAGACAAAGAAGGUGGAGGUCAGAGUGAGGCUGGGGCAGGAUGGGGGCUGUGAGCCAGCCAUGCCGGAGCCUUGAGAGUUAGAGACACUGAGAAAAUGGAGUCUCCAAAUGCAGUCUUGUUGGUACCUUGAUUUCAGCUGGUAAGAUCCAUUUUCAGACUUCUGAACUCCAAAAUCGUAAGGGUCCAACUGCAUCGAAGAACAAGUCCUGAAUUCUCUCCAGCACCCAGAUACUCUGUCUAUGGAUCACCAUCAGAAUGUUAAAUUAAGGAGCUCGUUUUACUUUCUGGAAAUUUGUCCAUUUCUCCUGUAUGCUGCCUGAUAUAUGAGAAGACGGAUUUAAUAGAAAGGGCAUUAACUAC